rnacentral:rRNA from 1 species
UACGUAGGGUGCAAGCGUUGUCCGGAAUUAUUGGGCGUAAAGAGCUCGUAGGCGGUCUGUCGCGUCGGCUGUGAAAACUCGAGGCUCAACCUCGAGACGUCGGCGGAAACCAUCUGGCUAGAGUCCGGGAAGAGGAGAGUGGAAUUCCUGGUGUAGCGGUGAAAUGCGCAGAUAUCAGGAGGAACACCGGUGGCGAAGGCGGAUCUCUGGGCCAUUACUGACGCUGAGGAGCGAAAGCGUGGGGAGCGAACAGG